rfam:Myotis davidii contig318003, whole genome shotgun sequence.
GCCAUGGUGGCUCAGUGGUUGAGCGUCGAUCUAUGAAUCAGGAGGUCAGGGUUCGAUUCCCGGUCAGGGCA